GGGGCUUCGUCGGAGCUGCGAGGGUGACGCCUUUGUUCCGUCCGUGUUCUGCUGCGGCCAAUCGCUGGCUGUCCUCUUGGACGGCCAAUUGAUAGAUUCGGCCGAGCGGCGGCAUCGGCUACAUCGCCAGAAUUUGUGAUGGGAAAGUCGUUCCUCAGCGGCCUUGAGCUCAUUCUAAAGGGCCGAGAGUCGGUUGAAGCAAGCGGUGACCGAGACGUUCCCUUACUUCAACUUCGAGAAGGCCUUAGUAAGUGUGAAUAAUUUUGCAUGGUCGAACCUCCCAUACAUCUCGCGUAUGUUUUCCCACAUUAUCUUUGAGUCCUUUGUUGGUGAGAGCCCGGCAGAGAUGUCGGGAGCCAAACAAUUCCCAAUCCAAGUGCGAAUCAAUUGAUUGCACCUCCGCCAAUGACGCUGUAGCCGUUCUUCGUUUAGAAAGUGGACAGCUCCAUCGAUGAAACCAUCUUUGUCUUUUGUGACUAGCGCUUGCCGGAAGUCUCCAGCCUAGGCAUUGUAGUUGUUUGGUCCGACGAGCUGAAGGUUGAUCAGCCGAAGCUCAAGUUCGUCGGCCGACAACGUGUAUAGAGGGUCGCCGGGCUCAAGCGGCCGCCACUAGUUGCAAUUCCGAAGGGUAGAUAGCCAGGUUGGUAACCGGGUUGGAAAACCUUGUAGGGAUUCGUCAUUGUACCCGAUUGAGUAAAUUCGGGUCUGUGACCCGUAUUUGUCCAGUCGGAUCCAUUAUUCGGGUCGGUUCUAGAAGCAAAGUGAAUGGUUCCUCCUCAGUUGGGUUGAAUUCCAAAACCCUGAACUCGUUCCUCUCCGGGCGGACCAUAUUGAAGCCACGCUUGAUUGGUCCUGCGGCCCAUUGGCCUUGAACCAGAAACCAUUGGACUAGUAGCCACUGGACCGGGCCGGGAAUCUGGACUGAAGGAGGUGUGGAUCCUACUGGAUGUUGAGCAGGAGUCUCUUCUAUUAUAGUCGGAUCAUUCUAAUCCGUGAUUUGAGCUCGUGGGCUACAACAACAAUUCAGAAGACAAGACCGGAGGCAAUUCCAGAAGAAUUUUUUCGGAAGCUAGGCCAAAAAAGAUAGCUUUGAUACCAUGUCAAAAAAUGAAGAAAUUGGAAGAACUUUUUUUUCUAUAUCCCGUAUACAAGUAAUGAUGAAACAUAAAAACAGGAAAGAAAAUAUAUGGGAUUUCAAUUUCCUAUUCUACGUAA